AAAUCAAAGUCCAAGGAAAAUUAUUAAUAUACCGAUUUUAUGACAUACAAAUAGUUUAUAAUUUUAUAAGUAAAUUAAAAUAUAGCAAUACAUUAUUUAUCUCGUGAGAGAAAUUUAAUGCUUAAAGAAGCAUAAACCAAAAUGCGAGGGAAAUUAUUAAAGUAAAGUGGUUAUAGUUACACACAUUGACAUUUAUUGUUCCUGCACUUUGUAGUUUUAGCGCCACACAUUUUUCUUGGACAAUGGCCGGUAUGUUUGCAACCGUUUUUCACUGUCAAUUCAAAUAACAAUAAAGGAAUGUUGUUAAAGGAAUAUUGUGUCUAACAUACAGAAAAUGAGAAAAGAAUUUCAAGAGUUACUUACUUCCACUGGUUCCCAUGAGAAAUAGAGAAAGAAACAUUAUCAAAGCAUAAACAUAGUUGAAAAUUUUAGCCAUAUUUUUCUUAAUGUAUAUCCUUUUUUGUUUACACUUUGAAUGUAUAUCUAAAAUGUAAAGUUUUGUUUAACCAUUUUAUAAGUAAAAUUUAAUUCUUUGGUAACAUCAAUUAAAUAAUCUUCCUUCAAUUAAAAUCAAUUAAAUAGUUUGUUUAUCUUUUAUGAAUUGUAAGAAAGCAUUUACUAAAUUGAAGUUAUUGAUAAAUGUCUCUAAUGUAGAUCAGUGUGACAUUUGUCCUUUAGCCCACUAAAUUGAUCAGUUAAACAUAAUAAAGAUCUUAAAUCAACCUUUUGAUGCUCGUCAAAGAUUCUUUGUUUUUUUAAGGGACAAAAUCCCAAAAUUAAAGAGAAAUAAUAGUGAUGAAGGUAACUGUUUUUUAGCUUUGAUAAUUAUGCAUUUAAGAGGUGAGAAAACAUUUAUUUCUAGAUUAAAAUUACAAUAUGAUGAUUUCUUCGGUUUAGAAAAUGAUCAGAUCGUAAAUUAAUACAUAUCAAAUGUAAAAAUUACAUGAUUUGUUUUAUUGUUGAUGUCGACCCUCAGAUUCCUCAGAGAAAAAGGCUAAAGUCAUUGAGACUUUGGUCGGGAGUUAAAUAAAUUAUGUCUAAGAAUUGUUUCAAUCGGGAAUCGAACCUGAAUUGUCACGAACAAUUCAUCAUAGGGACGCUAUUUAACCAUUAGAGUCAAAUCACUUGGUUGACAAUUGCAUGAGUUAAUCAAAGUGUUAAAUAAGUUUUUGGUCUGUAAAAAUACAUUGUUUUAUGUUUUUAACUCCUUUAAACAAUGAUCCCUGCAAUGUUUUCUGCAAGCAAAUUUAGGUCUCGCUUUCCUUAAUGUCCCAAUUUUUGUAAUAAGAUUAGAAACUUUUUCAUUUCAAUUGAGAGAUGACAUUUAUAUCUUAUCUUGAAAAAUUCGAAUGAAAUAAAUUAAAAUUACUUGCAUUUGAAGAAACGCUUACAAAAUAUUUUGAUUAUGCUAAUGUGUACAAAUUACGAACAAUAAUUUUUUAGAGAUUUUAAUUUUAAUUAAAAUUACAAGUGUAGAUCCCAUAAAAUUUAUACGUAUAUAUAUUUUCACUUUCAUAUUGUAACAAACUAUACAUAUCUUUUUCAAUAUAUUUUGCACUUUCAUAUUUAACAAACGAUACAUAUCUUUUUCAAUGAUACCAACAAUAUAACAAAUAUAAUAUAAAUUCUUAUCUUUUUUAAUGACACCAACAAUAAAACAUUCUUAUAACCAAAUAUUUUAAACAUUUUUUUAUUUAUUAUGUUAAUUCAUAAUAAAUUCAAAGCUUCAUACAAUAUUUUGCCAAACAACUUUUAACUUAAAAAUAGCUUUAAAACUAAAAAAAAUUUAAAGUAACUAAACAACUUUAACUUCUUUCUUAAAACCCUUAAUUUUAACUUUAUUUUAAAGUAGCUUUUAAACUGUAAAAAAGUCAGACCAAACGAUUCUAAAGUAAAACAAUAUAGCGAGACAUAAAUUGAAACAUGAUAUAUAUACUUUUCAGUACAUAAAUGAGAGCCAAAAAUAUAAUUUAACCAAAAAAAAAAAUUUAACCAAAAUUUUGAUCACUAUAAAUCUACCAUCUUUCGUUUUUGAUUCCGUUAUAUACGCAACCUUUAAAAAUGAGGAUGAGUGCUUCCUUAAAAAAAAAAAAAAAAAAACAGAGAGAGAAUGGGUGCUCAAAAUAACCGCUGAACUCAAACUAAUCAAAAUUAUUUGAACCUAUAUUUCAAGUAUAGUAAUAGAAUGAACAAAAUAAUAAAUAAAAAGAAUUCCUUCAAAAAAAAUAAAAAGAAUAUUUCAGUGGAGUAAAAUAUAAAUUGAUAAAAAAAAUAAUAAAAAAAAAAGACUAUUUUUCGGAAGAAAAAUCAUAGGAAAGAGGUUUAUCUAAAAGAUCUUUUUCCUAUUUUUAUUAUUACCAUUCGUUGAGAAUGGUUUUUCUUUUAUUUAUACUUACUUGGUACAUAUUUUGGGGUGGGUUUGAUAAUCCCUUUGAUUAUUAUUAAAACUUUUCAAAAUUUCUUUUGAUUUUUUAUUUAAGAUUAUUUUAUUAAGUAGAUUAUCGUGAGCCGCACAUACUUUAUCGCAGGCUAAACUAAAAAAAGAAAUAAUAUUUUGAUAACCAAUCAAUGAUACUCUUCUAUAGAUUCACCUAUAUAAGCCGCAACUAAGGUAGCAAAAAUAAGAGCUUGAAUACCGCUUGUAAAUAAUCCCAUAAACAUAACCGGUAUAGGAACUAUUAAAAGUACUAACAAAACAAGAAGAAUAACUACUAAUUCAUCAACUAAUAUAUUUUUGAAAAGUCGAAAACUAAGUGAUAAGGAUUUUGUGAAAUCUUCUAAGAUGUUAAUCGUUAAAAGGAUUGGAGUUAGUUGGAUGUAUUUACCAAAAUAAGUCAAUCCUUUUAUUGAAAUACCAUGAUAGAAAUAGGCUAGUGACAUAAGUAAAGCUGAUGCCAAGAGUAGUAUUUAUAUCAUUUGUGGGUUCAGAUAAUUCUCCAUGAGAUAACUUUAUAAUUUUCCAAGACAAAAGAGCCCCUGACAAAUUCCAAAAAAAAAAAAAAAAAAAGGGUUCCAAUAAAUGGAACCCACUGACCAUAUUCUUCUCCAAUCUGAUUUUUAAAUAUGCACAAUUAUAAGUCUAAUUGAUAGUUAUUAUUCAACAUAAAAUUAUCUAUUAGAUGCAAAGUAUUUCAAAAUUGAUCAAAGCUUCUCAACAUGAUUUAAUGUGUUGGCAUUCUUCAAACAACGACUCUAUUAUCUCCUAUAUAAGUCCCGAGAAAUUUGAAGAACUUAAGAGACUUUACAUAAUUUUAUUAGGGCCAAAACUCUAUCAAAUUAUAUAGCACGCAAACACUUAAAAAAGUUCUUACAAACUUUCACAUCUUAGAUAUUCUUAAAUGUCAGAAUUCAUUUGAGCUUAGAGUUAGUUUACCACUCUCUGAGUACAAAGUGUAAACAAUCAAAAUUUAUUUGUAAACUCUAAUUUUGGAAGUCCUCUUGUGUGAGGCAAGGAAAUCUUAGACAUGUGUGUGUCGAAGUAAUUGUCAUAUUGUGUGAUUAUGGUGAAAAAUCCCUUGGAAUGCAAGGGGACCUGACAAACCUCAUAUUGUGCGGUGAACCGUGAUAAUUUCUUGUGUUAUCUCUCUCUCUCUGAUUAUCUUUCUUGCUCUGUUCUGUGUAAACUUAGAAAACAAUUUUCAGAAAAGCUAACACAAUUCAAUCAUCUCUUCUUGUAUUUUUCUCACCUUCAGUUGGUACCAGAGCGUCUGGUAUGUUGAUUUAACACUUAAUCAUGUAACAUAUAUUGCAACCAUGUUCUCAAUGUUUCAAACUCUUGUCUUUGAUAUGCAAGUUUUGAAUAAGAGUUGUACUACGAUAAAAUGACUGUCAUUCAAGAAGCAAUAGACUUGAACAAACUUGGUUGGAGACUCUGAUAAGCUCUCUGAAGAGUCGUGAGAUGCAGCUAUUAGGGGAUGAUUCAUCCAAACAAUAUAGUUAUAUUGCUCUCAAGUCAAAGGACAAAUAUAUCACAACAUUUCAAGUUGUAGAGUCUGAAUAAGACAAUCUAGGAGAAGAUUCCGUAGAUGGUUCUAAUGAAGAUGAAAUGACAUUCUUUAUCAAGAGACUCUAACAUCUGAACAAGAAAAACAAGUUUUCUGAUAGAAACAAUGAUGCCAGAGGAUUUAAUUCCAAAUAUAAAAAAUAUGAAUCGAAAGUCUGCUUCAACUGCAAGAAGUCUGAACACACUUAACAUAAAGGUGGUUUGUUUUUUAAGGGAAAAUUAUGUGGUGAUGUUGUUGUAUUUCGAUAUUGUACUUGUUGAUGAAAUUUAAAGUAUAUGUUUAUACAGCUUAAUCAUUUUUUUAGAAUAUUAAUAUCACACAGUUAGCCUUAAAUGCAAUUUUCAUGUGAGAAUAACAAUGUUAGCUAAAAUCCAUUUAUCGAUAACGUAGAUUUAGUUUUUUAAAAAAAAUAACGUAGAUUUAGCUAUAUCCACGUAGAUUUAGAAAUACAUACUAUUAUUAGUGCAACAGAAAAAAAUACAAUUAUUAGGAUAUAUUGGAAUUAUUAAUUAAAGUGGCUAAUUAUAUCGAUUUUUAAACUUAGAAUUAAGGUAAAAUACACUUAUGAUAUUUAAACAUAGAAUUAAGGCUAAAAUACACUUCUUCUCCCCCGCCCCCAAUUUUUCAAAACAAUCGAUUUUUGCCCUUUGUUUACACUUGUUUUUGAUAAACAACGAGUUUGGCUUUGAUUAUUACAAGCAGGACCAAAUCAGAGAUUCUAGGACAUAGUGUGUUGUUUCGUUGAGGGAAAAGGCACGAAAGGAAGCACUACCGUCGCGUGGAGACGUCUUUUCGACUGGAAAAAAACAUAAAGAAAAAGGAAAAAACUAAAGGCAAAAAGCACCUAAAAGAAACAUUUUUGUUGAUGUUGAGAGAUGGCUAGUUAUAAUUGUGUGGUGAAGUUGUUGUUUUUAAUACUAUACUAGUUAAAUAAAUUUAAAGGUAAGAGAAACAUUUUUUUAAAGGAAAAAGAAAGUGCAAAAGCAUUGAUUAAAUGACAAAAAUGAUAUUCCAAUUGUGUUGGCACCUCAUAACUGUCUCCUAUGGUUUACAACACUCUAAAAUUAUUAUUAAUAAACUAGGGUUAAGACAGGUACGUACUAACAUGUUCAUGUUUUUGUUUUCUAUUGCACUUAAAUUUUAUAAAUAUCAUAAUUAUAUAAAGAUUAGUUUAUAUUGUUUCUAGUAUGGUGAAAUUUUUCCUAUUAUAACCGGAUUUAAUUGAUUCUUUUAAUUAAAUAUUUAAAUAAUAAUAUACAAAAUAUAAUAUUGGAAAUAGAAAAAUUUAAAUAAAGGAUAUAAUUGCAAGAUAAAUAUUCAUCUCAAAAUCAUGUAUCCCUUGUGUGUAGAUGAUUAUAUGUUUUUAUUAUAAUGAGAUUUAUUUGAUUUUUUAAUUAAAUAUUUAAGUAAUAGUAUAAAGAAUAUAAAAUUGUUAUUAGAAUAGUUUAAAUGAAAGAUAAAAUUUUAAAAUAAAUAUCCAACGCAUGAUAAUACAUAUCUUUAUAGGUAUAGGUUCUAUAAAUGAAUAAUUACAAAAUUCAGGAGAUUAGACCAACACUCAAGAAAAAAGAACCAAAGACUUUCAACAUCUGCCUCAUUAAAAACCUUCUUAAAAUAGCCCUAUGACAUAAAAUGUCUUUGGUAAAAAAAUAAAAGUGUAGAGCAACUAACCAACACAAAGACAAGAUAAACAACAUAAAUCAAAGUCCAAGGAAAAUUAUUAAUAUACCGAUUUUAUGACAUACAAAUAGUUUAUAAUUUUAUAAGUAAAUUAAAAUAUAGCAAUACAUUAUUUAUCUCGUGAGAGAAAUUUAAUGCUUAAAGAAGCAUAAACCAAAGUGCGAGGGAAAUUAUUUUAUAGUUGCACACAUUGACAUUUAUUGUUCCUGCACUUUGUAGUUUUAGCGCCACACAUUUUUCUUGGACAAUGGCCGGUAUGUUUGCAACCGUAUUUCACUGUCAAUUCAAAUAACAAUAAAGGAAUGUUGUUAAAGGAAUAUUGUGUCUAACAUACAGAAAAUGAGAAAAGAAUUUCAAGAGUUACUUACUUCCACUGGUUCCCAUGAGAAAUAGAGAAAGAAACAUUAUCAAAGCAUAAAC
rnacentral:lncRNA from 1 species